UACGUAGGGCGCAAGCGUUGUCCGGAAUUAUUGGGCGUAAAGAGCUCGUAGGCGGCUUGUCACGUCGGGUGUGAAAGCUCGGGGCUUAACCCCGGGUCUGCAUUCGAUACGGGCUGGCUGGAGUGUGGUAGGGGAGAUCGGAAUUCCUGGUGUAGCGGUGAAAUGCGCAGAUAUCAGGAGGAACACCGGUGGCGAAGGCGGAUCUCUGGGCAGUGGCUGACGCUGAGGCGCGAAAGCGUGGGGAGCAAACAGG
rnacentral:rRNA from 1 species